rnacentral:rRNA from 1 species
AGUGGCGAAGGCGACUUUCUGGUCUGUAACUGACGCUGAUGUGCGAAAGCGUGGGGAUCAAACAGGAUUAGAUACCCUGGUAGUCCACGCCGUAAACGAUGAGUGCUAAGUGUUAGGGGGUUUCCGCCCCUUAGUGCUGCAGCUAACGCAUUAAGCACGCCGCCUGGGGAGUACGACCGCAAGGUUGAAACUCAAAGGAAUGGACGGGGACCCGCACAAGCGGUGGAGCAUGUGGUUUAAUUCGAAGCAACGCGAAGAACCUUACCAAAUCUUGACAUCCUUUGACAACUCUAGAGAUAGA